UUAGAGGUUAAGCCCGAUGNCCCUGAAUAUCUAAUAUGAAAAAUUCAUCAUUAAUAUUAUAUUAUUUAUUAUUAAUAAUAUAAAAAUAAUGUGCAAUUUUUUCAUAUAAAGACAUUGUAAUCUGUUAAUAUAAAAAUUAUAAAAUUUAUCAAAAGUAUCGUUUAUGAAUCAGUUUAUAUUUUAAUAUAAUAGUAAUAUUAUAUUUUUAUAAAAUUCAUGAAAAUACGAUUACGGAUAAAUUAUUGACAGAUUUAUUAUAUAUAACGCUUACAUAGCUUAUUUAUGUUAUAGUAAAAUUUUAAUUAUAUAAUUAAAAUUUUUAUUAUAUGCGUUUAUAUGAUUAACAAUGCUAUAGAUUUAGGAUACCUUCGGG
rnacentral:rRNA from 1 species